GAUGAAGAACGCAGCGAAAUGCGAUAAGUAAUGUGAAUUGCAGAAUUCCGUGAAUCAUCGAAUCUUUGAACGCACAUUGCGCCCCCUGGUAUUCCGGGGGGCAUGCCUGUCCGAGCGUCAUUGCAACCUUCAAGCGCGGCUUGUGUGUUGGGCCUCCGUCCUCCUCCCGGGGGACGGGCCCGAAAGGCAGCGGCGGCACCGCGUCCGGUCCUCGAGCGUAUGGGGCUUCGUCACCCGCUCUUGUAGGCCCGGCCGGCGCUUGCCGACACAUCAAUCUUUUUUCCAGGUUGACCUCGGAUCAGGUAGGGAUACCCGCUGAACUUAAGCAUAUCAAUAAGCGGAGGA
rnacentral:misc_RNA from 1 species